AUCCAGCUGACGAAUCCCAAACAGGACGAAACGCCGCGUCCUGGAU
rnacentral:hammerhead_ribozyme from 1 species